GGACGCUGAUUGCAAAACAAAAUGUGAUGGUGGCACAAUUGUAGACCAUCAAAAACAGCAGUAACACAAAAGGAUUGGCGUCUCUAUAAAUUGAAAUUUGGCUGAACUCUUUGAUGUCAUUCGGCAAGUUCCGAGGUUCGAAUCGCGUUCGUAUGAGUGCAGGGCUCUCACAGAUAACGUCCUCUCCUCCAUGCACCAACGGCACUCCGGAUCGUCCUUGAUGCUCAUGGUGUGGAGAAGACAUGGUCAGGUCUUAGCUUGUCUCAUACCAGGCGUCUCUAUCCAUCUUUGCCGAGCCCGCCCAUUGGUGGAUUCGCAGAUCCCAGUCUGGCGACUCCAAUACAAUUUUACUACCCGGUUGGUAAAGUCUAAAUCAAACAAAUAUCUCGAAAUGGUAGUAGGUGGAAUCGGCUAAAGCAACAAAACGUUGACAAGUUGUAUCAGAAACUGUGAAGAUUGGAAUGAACUACUGGGAAGACCUCAGUUUGUCUGAAGAUAUUUGAAUCGCAGUUUAUGUAAACAUCUGAUGAUUAAUUUAGUCUUGACACAUAUUAUUUUUAGUAUAUGCCUUUUGAAUUCAUGGGAACUGAGAUUGCAGUCCAAGCGGAUCCGGAGUAUUGAAAUAAAACGGGAAAAGAGCUGGAAAAAGGCAUUGAAAGUUUUCCUAUAGAUUAAAAAAAGACAAUAUGUAUAUAACAGAAAGAGGGAUGUAUCAAGUGGUAAAAGAAACAAAAACAAAAAACGAACCUUGUUUGAAUUUAUUCUAAAUAGUAUUUUACUUACUAGGAGCAGCUCCAGUUGUAUAAUUAUACAGUCUAGGACCAGGAAACUGGUAUAAAGGAAAAACAAGAUUGGUCCUCCAGUUAUUAAUAUUAAAUGGAUCUAUUUUAAACCUAGUUUCGCCUGGAAACCUGAAAAUUAGUUUAUAUCAAUGAUAUAUUGUAUUGAAAGGAAUUCAAUUAAAUUAUUCUAAAGGAUCAA